rnacentral:rRNA from 1 species
UACGUAGGGGGGCAAGCGUUGUCCGGAGUUACUGGGCGUAAAGCGCACGCAGGCGGUCUUUUUAAGUUUGGAGUGACAGUUGGUGGCUUAACUGCCAAAGUGCUUCGAAAACUGAAAGACUUGAGGGCUUCAGAGGGACACGGAAUUCCGGGUGGAGUGGUGAAAUGCGUAGAGAUCCGGAAGAACACCGGUGGCGAAGGCGGCCUGCUGGGCUAUGGCUGACACUGAGGCGCGACAGCGUGGGGAGCAAACAGG